GUCCAGGGGCGGGAAUCGAACCCACACCCUUCUGCUUACCGGGCAGGUGAGUUGUCCACUCGGCUACCCUGGA